GGAGUAAUAUUUCAGAGGUUAGAAUAUUGGUUUGUCGAACCAAUGGUCAUGGGUUCAAAUCCCAUUUAUUUCG
rnacentral:tRNA from 1 species